rnacentral:rRNA from 1 species
UACGUAGGGUGCAAGCGUUGUCCGGAUUUAUUGGGCGUAAAGAGCUCGUAGGCGGUCUGUCGCGUCGGAUGUGAAAACCCAGGGCUCAACCCUGGGCCUGCAUUCGAUACGGGCAGACUAGAGUAUGGCAGGGGUGACUGGAAUUCCUGGUGUAGCGGUGAAAUGCGCAGAUAUCGGGAGGAACACCAGUGGCGAAGGCGGCUCUCUGGACAGGUACUGACGCUGAGACGCGAAAGCGUGGGUAGCAAACAGG